GCCAGGGUAGGGCCUCGAGCUGGGGGGCAGUGAGGAUGGGAAACGCUCCCAGCCCCAGUCAGCGGCUCCCGGGGGGGUGGGGGUUCAGUGAAUGAGUCAAGCGGCUUUUGUUCCUCUUGUUUUCGCUCAUUCCGUGAAGGAUUUCUCUUGACUCAUGAUUUCCCAACCAGCUCCUUCUGCAGCUUAAGAAAGCAAGAGUGAAUAAUUGCUCUGGUUUUUUGCUGCUUGGGUUUUUUCCUUCAUUACAGGAAUGUGUAAACACCCUGGGUUUUCAGAGACCGGCUGCCAAACCCCGCGUCGGAGGCUCCUCCUGCUUUCGGGCAAUGGCUGGCAUCCUCGCUGGGGGAACUGGGCUGACCCUGCUGGCGAGGGCUGACCCUCACCAAGUCGUCAAGGACCCUGGCCUGGGAGAGGUGGUGGAGGCCAUGCCAGAACUUCUUACCCGUCUGUUAUGGGCUGAAUCGUGUUCCCCUCAAAAUGCAUAUGUUGAAGGCCUAAUCUCCAGGACCUCAGAACGCGGCUGUUGCUGGAGAUAAGGUCUUUGAAGACGUGAUUAAGUUAGAAUGAGGUCAUCAGGGUGGGUCCUGAUCCACUAGGCCUGGUGUCUUUACAAGAAGAGGAGAUCAGGACACAGACACGCACAGAGGGACGACCACGUGAGGACACAGGGAGAGGACGGCCAUCUGCCGGCCAAGGAGGGAGGCCCCCGGAGAAACCAACGUGCUGACACCUUGGUCUUGUACUUCCAGCCUCCAAGACCCUGCGGUUUAAGGCCCUGGCUUGUGGCGCUUUGUUACAGCCACCUGAGCUGACUUAUACAGCAUCCUUGCCCUCUCUGUGCCCAGGAGAGGAGCCUUCCCUGCCCCCUUACCACACCCAUGACUGGGCAGUAAAUCCCCACGGCUGGGCGAGGCUGACAGCCCCAGUCUCCUUGUGCUCCAGCUCUGGGGAGAUGCUGGGGGGCAGGUAUCUCUACUGCUCAGCAGCCCUAGGUGGGAGGCAUGAGGGAGCAGAGAGGCCUAGGUGGGCAAGCGAGCCCAGCAGAAUCCCACACGGAGAAUGCGGGUGAGAAGGAGCCUGUGCCAUCUGCCUCGUGUUCUGGGGGGACUCACACUCCCUGGCUUUCCCGGUUGUCCCCUUGCACUCAGAAGUGGCAUGGUGCAGGGCCGGGAACGAACAGCUGGACGCACACAGAUCGGCUUCUCAUGAAGUCUCCAUUUCACGUGUGGCCUUCUGCCGCGGCCCCUGCUCCUCUCAGCUGCCUUGUGAGGGAAGUCACCCCCGGACAGAGCCAGAAGUUCUGGGAAGAGAACUGAAGGACCUUCGUCACUGCCACCCACCGCCUUCUCCACCAAGACGCCCCUGACCGCUAUCACAGGCCACAACAGAGAAUGCACAACGGAACACACCCGUCCUCUCCGUCUAUCCCUCCUCGCGGAAAGUCAGAGUGAGGAUGCCAAAGGGGCUUAGGUUCCAUGCCAGGUCUGAGCUUCGGUGGCGGUCCUGUGCCAGAGGCCUGACAGCCUCCAGACCAGCCAGAGGGAGCUGACGGCUGCGGAUGACAGCUGGAUGAUGUCCCGUAUCCAAAACGUCCAUGAGCCGUGUCCUUCAGGAGGGGUUCGCCGUGGGCUCCUCAAGGCUGGGGAGUCUGCAGGGACCCUCUGUGCUGCCCCAGGUUCAUGUGCCCGGCUGUCCUGCUCCAGCGAUGCUUCUCUGCGCUUUUGGUCCGUGUGUCUACAUCCCCAUGGAUCCCAAGUCCACGCCAUAUUCAUCACUAUCCUCCCCGUCAGUCCUGGCACGCAGUGGGCAUGUAAGGGAUGCUGAGGCCGAGUGGUCAGCAUGUCCCCAUCGGCUGACGUGCGUAGGAAAACCCAGCACCCCCACCCUGCAUCGGCCAGCUGCCAGCUGCCCCCACCCCUUGUCUCUCCGUCCCUCCCUCUCCCUCAUCAUCACACAAUUAUUACAGGAACAACUUGACUCUGUCCUAGCAUUCCUUGAGAGAGGCACUUCUAAAGGUCAGGAGCAGCAAUGACUGGGAGUGGAUUUCCCGCGACGCCUCCCCCAGCUGAUUAGGACAGGCGGGGCAGACCGGGUGCUGAAAAUCACCCUCAAACCGUCACGGGCAGCCGACAUCACCAGGAUCUGGGUGGGCAGUGCACAGGCUUUCGGCUGUGCUCUACACAGGGAGCAGAUGGCUCAGAGGGGCGGGCAGAGACGGUGCUCGAGAACAGGGCCUCCACCCGGCCGGUCCGGCUGCCCCGCCUACUCGGUACCAGGGCUCCUGCUACCAGUGGGCCACCAGAAGCCUGAAAUGACGUAAGGGUGGGAGGGCUCUGAGCCUGCCAGGGGCCAUUGAGAUCACGCAGAAGCUCCCAAGCAUCACGUCAGCACAUUCCGGGCCUGACCGAAAGGCAAAGCAGUAGAUGAAAGGAUCCUGUAGCCCCCUGGACACCUUUUUCACAAGUUGACAUCAAAAAUGUAAAGCAUCUUCAUCAUCUGUUUUUUAACCACGUAAGAGGAUAAAAUGAAAUCAACCUAACCACUUUUCAAUUUUUCCCUGGCCUCCUCAACCAACUCACAGUUCUGGGUUGUAAAAUAAAGAGAAAUCAAGAGGACUUGUAGAAAAAGUCCUGAGUGCCUGGGGAACUGCAUGGCAGUCUUGAUCAUGACCCCAUUCCCCACUGCUGCACCAGGGCAGACAUGUCUAAUCCACCACAGAGCACGUACACAGCACUCUAGGCAGCUAUUACCAAUCAAUCCCAGCCAACCUGCAAGAUGAAACCUGUCACUCAUCCAUCACAUGACCUCGAAUCAAUGAAGGUCAGAAAGGGGAGAUGAUUCACCAAACGAGGCUGGACCUGUCUCCUGCCGAGGAGCAGAGGGCAACGGCCGAGGAAGAGAGCGGCGCCCAGGUCUGUGGAAGACUAACCAAUAGGAACUUGCAGCCACUAGUUCCUUACUCAGUGAUUCGGCUAAAAAGCAGAGUAUUCUGCUUUUCUCAAAAAAGGACAAUGGGCUUCUGGAGGCUCUGGUGGGUUAGAAACAGUGAAGGCUGCCCCGGGGCCCCUGGCUCUGCUCCUAAAUUCCUAGAGAGGAUUGGGAUCUAAAUGGUCUUAAGUGGACCCAGAGGAAAAUAUCAGCUUCACUCUGUUGCCCUUCAGUCCUGAUGUUUCUCUGACAGGUGCAUCACAAAGAGUUUAAAUUCAGUGGAGGUUUGUAACCCCAGCCUCCAGCCCCAAGAGAACGGAAGGGAGACACUGAGUCGAGGGAGGCUUCGCAGCUACCAGAGACGGGCGAGGAUCCCCCAGCAUCCAUUUAGGGUCUGUCCUCCCCUUUGGACUCCCUCUCCCUCCCUCCCCCCAUGGAUAUCACUUGUGUGGCUCUCCAUCCCCACACGAGGACACGGGGUCCAUUCCUCUCUCUGUCCUCACGUCAGAAUCUGCCCUGUCUAUAAUUCCCCACCGUCAGGUCCAACAGAUCUGACGGAGCAGCCGCCAUGUCGCUCACUCCCCGCAGGUGCUGCUGGGCAAGGGACACGAAUGUGCAGAGAUCCCGCCCCCAGGAGCUCUGGGUCUGGUGUGGGCCACAGAGAAGCAAAAAGGUGAAAAUUAGAGGGACGGAUUUAUUCAUAGUUGCCAAAACCUGGAAGCAACUGAGGUGCCCUUCAGUAGAUGCCGAGUUUAUUGGGGAUGUUGACCUUCAGGAUGCUCACUCGGGUGGCAGAAAUCAAGGACAGGGAUGAAGCAUCCCUCGGAGGUCCCUCUCCCUCUGUUGAAAAAACCCCCUGAAAUAGUUGAAGGAUAGAUAGUGUUGGAGGCCCACAGGGCGGUUUCAAACCAUGCUCUGCAGUCGGGCCUGCGGUAAAGAGGUCCGACCCUCGGAAGAACCAGGAGAUGUGAGGACUCCAACUCAGGGCCAGGAUUGGGGAAGGCUUCCGGGAGCAAGGCUGAGCAGCCAGUGUCUGUGGGGCUCCCCGUCCCAGGCUCCAGUGUGUGCUGUCGGGGUGGGGGUGACAACCCCCAGCAAGGAACUGGGGAAACCAGGCCUGCUCUGAAGCCGGUCUUGACGGGAGAUGAGCCCAAAGAAAUGAGCUACUAAAAGGAAAGAAAUGGGGGCUCACACCCCAAAUUCCAUCCAGAGGGAGGGUGUGUAGAGACAGUGAGGAACUGCGGAGGGCUCCCCGGAUUCCAACACCAUGAGGUGGGGCCAGCCACAUCGUCUGUGCUGCAGGAUGAACACGUGGGGCCCCUGGCCAACAAGCACCAAAAAUUGCAAGAUGGUGCAACAGAGCAUGGCUACAGCGCGGGCCUCCUGCGUGGGCCCAUGUGACUGCACCGCAGCUCCCAGUGUCCAGAGGCCUGAGCCCUUCAGGACCUGAGCCUUGGCUGGUGCUGCCUUCCUUUCCCAGAGUCCUGGGCUCGUGGCAGGUAUUUUCUCAGGCGGACAGAGUUGCAGAGUGAGGAGCGGGGAAGGGCAGAGGCGAGGCCGUGGUGCAGGCUCCACAGCAUCGGCUGUAAAUCCCUCACAUCCUCCCUGGGCCCAGGAAAGCAUCCUGACUUCGGACCGGGUUCCUGUUUUCAUACCUUCCUGUGAGUCAGGCUGGGAUGAGUCUGCGCCCCGUCCAGACCGUCCCGGCCCUUAUCUGAUGGGAACGAGGCUCUGUGCACAGCCCUGCAGGGUUUGGGAGGCCUCAGGACUCAGAGAAAUAAACAGCAGCGAUGAUGUGGCUCCACGGUCCGGUCAGGGGAGGGCCGCGCUCCCUCAGAAGACACAGCCGCCGUGAACCCACAACGGCCAUCUGUGCAGGGGUGCGCUGUCCAACCUCCCAAAUGGACGUGCCCUUUAGAGGCUGUUAAACCCAGCAGAGGACGCCCAGCCCCUGCAGGCUGACCAAGGCGGUCGUGGUCCCCGGUGGAUGACCCCGGGCUGCGCCCUGCGGCCCAGGGGGCCCCCCGCCGGAGUCACGCUGCUCCUCAGCUCUUGUGGAGGCUGGAUUUGUGGGAUGUUAACCCCAGCCCGUGUUUAAUAUUUAAAAUUGAUGGUUCUUAAAUCCUUUGGCUCACUUGAGAGGGAGGCGGAGACCAUCAGCAUCCGAAAGCUAACCCUCCCCAGGGCCUUUAUCAAACUCCCAGUGGUCUCAGAAGGUCAGAGCUUCCCACAGUCACUGACCACGUGGGUGGGCAUCCCAGAGACCCACAGCCUCUUGGUGCCACGGCCAUCAUCCUCUGGGUUCAGAAGUGCACGGCCCCCCAGAGGAACCAGCCCCCACCAGAGCCAGUGAGCUCACCCGGAUAGGAAAAAGAUAAUUUCAUAUUUCAAAAAAGCACUUAAACAGCAAAAGUCCCUGCAGAAACCACAUGUGGAAAACCCACUUACAGACAGGCCAAAUCUCCAAACCGAGGCUCAGCGUCGCAACGGGUGCGCAGUGCCCAGCAGCCAGAGAACGGGGUAUGAGGGCAGAGGGCGCGCACCACAGUGUGAACCCUCGCCAGGCAACGCGCACACCAGGUGCCAUCGCCCCUCCCCGUGGGAACACUCCGCAACACCGAGGAGCCAAUGGUUCCCCUGAGAGCUGUGCUGUCUCCUGAGCAUCUCAGCCCAUCCAGGCCAGAGCCACCCGCAGGCCCGCCUUCCCCCGGGGAGCAGGUGGCCAAGUGAAGCUGAUGCUCUGGGCUCCGAGUUCCCCCCUCAGAAAGGUGGAGCUUUUUAAAUCAAACUGAACUUUCUCAAGUCACCUGUCACUGGGGAGGCUGCCAUGCAUUCAGAUGCCUGUGUGCACACCUGCCCUCCCUCGGAAACCUCCAGAACAAGGCAUUCAGUGUCUCCCAGCACAGUGCGGGCCCCUCCAAGGUGGCCGUGACUGAGUUUGUGAAAGGAAUUCUGAGUAGAUCCCACGACCCAGAUGAAGGAGAGAUCAGGGGCUCCAGGCUCCCGAAGGACUUGGACCCAUCGCCUCAUACUCUAGACACAGACUGGGCGGAGAAGGGAGUUAACAGACCGCUGACCUUGGCAGAGGCGCCUGGGGAGAAGGUGAGGGGUUUUCUCCCAACACUCGUCAUGAAAAUAGAAGCAGAAAUCUGGCUACAAGUGUGAAGCAUCGGAAGGACCCCUGCGUCUGCUGCGGCGGGCAGAGCAAGAUGGUCACCGAGGCUGCAGCCCGGGCUCUGCUGCCCCCUGGGUCCUGUGGUGGUGUUCAUGGGUGGAUGGUUCUAGGGGUGCCGACCCGGUGCCCCCAGGCUGGAAGCCUCCUCCUCGGACGGCUGGAAGGGGCGGGAUGUGGGCAGCUGAGGAAGCUGGGCAGCAGGACAGGAGGAAGGAUGGAGGAAGGAAGGAAGGAAGUCGCUCAGCUGGGAGGAGGCUGCAAGGUCUGCUCCGCUGCUGGACCACAGCCUUGUCCAGCCCCUGCUCCUGGCUGUUACCGACGUAGAAGGGCUUAGGCAGUAGGAUGUGACGUGCUCAGAGCCCGGAGAAGUGGCUCUGCAUGUCAAACCGUCGAGGACUCCCAAGGGAGACCACGUGGACCUCGCUCAUGAACACACCAGGUGGGCAACUCUGCCACCCGUGCCUGAGCCAGCCGCCCGGGAGCGCACUCUCACGAGCCGACACAAGCCCCUGGGGUGCUUUCUCUGCAAACAGCCGCCGGUGCCUUCGGACGGGCCCUGCCCGACCACUUCCACGUUUCAGCUGGAAGUGUGAAGACGGUUCUGCUGUCCUCUCCUCCCCGAAAUCUCAGGGAACAACAGGAAGUGGGACUGGAAACCAAAAUCUCAAUUCUGUCGUCAGCGAAACUGAGAGGCAUCCGAACUUGGAGACACAAGACCUGGGGCCGUUGCAGAAGGAGGGCAGAGCAGGACAGGACCCGAGGAAGGAUGGCUGUCAGGGCCAACAACACAGUCCGGAGCUCUCCACAGCAGAGCGUGCCCCCGGGAAGGCCAACCGCCCUUCUGGUGCUGCCCAGGACCCACGGGGAUGCACGUCUGAGAGGAGAGUGCCCUUGGCCCAUCACUGGACCCCUUGGGCACUGCAGAGCGGCAGGAAGAGACGCACAGAGAGGCCAUCAUUGCAGGAAGCAGUGUGUUGGCGAGGCUGAAGUCCUGCCUCACACACUCCACACACGCACACACACUCACACUCACAAUACCAGCACAUGGGCACAUACACCACGCACACUCACACACAUUUGCUCCACAUACGCUCACACACACCACACACAUUGUCUCAGGCACACAACUCUGCGUCACACGGAGCCCAGCCUUGACGUGGAGUCCCCCACCAGCCCUGCACCUGGCACUGGCCCCCCCCACAGCACAUAGCUCAUGCAGGAAGGACCCCUGUUGCUCCGAGAGGCUACAAGUGGAAUCGGCCCACCUCCUGGGGGCUCCUCCACAUGCUUGGGGCCCCGCAGAGGGGCAUCAUCAUCUGACUCAUCUGUUGGGUUGAUGUCGGCGUCGAUGCCCCCUCAUUGGAUGCUGUGGACGUGGCCUCACCUCGCCUCACAGUCAUCACAGAGACAGAGACACAAGGCCUCAAACCCCCUCCUGCCUCCUUCCCCCACAUCCCUGCGAAUCAUGUCCAGCCGACAGCCCGUCCGCUCCAGAAGCCAGUUAUCACUGGGGGCCGGGCGGGGGUCUUGGUGCAAACCCCACUCAGUCAAGGCCCCCGCAGAGUCUCUCAGGCAGCUCCUCUUGAGGAAAAUAUUGGGAAAUCGGUGAAAAUAUUUACAUGGAUUUUAUCUCUUUGUCCUGGUUUUGCCGUUUUUAUUUUCCUUUUGGUCAAUUCAUUUUAGUGAGAUGCAAAAUAAAUUGUUUACAUCUGAAUCUCAAAGACUGCGCUCCUCAGAGACACGGCCGGCCGGUGCAGGCUGUGGCCCAGCGCUCCCCCGACCAGGAGGCCAGUGCGGGGAUGGCGAGCUCCACACCACCCUCAUGCCUGUCAGUCCCUAGACGGGCUCGGCUGCAUCUCCUGCACCAGGACCCGCUGUCAAACAUGUGCAUCUUCAC
rnacentral:lncRNA from 1 species